rnacentral:rRNA from 1 species
CCUACGGGUGGCAGCAGUGAGGAAUAUUGGUCAAUGGGCGCGAGCCUGAACCAGCCAAGUAGCGUGAAGGAUGACGGCCCUACGGGUUGUAAACUUCUUUUAUAAGGGAAUAAAGUGAGGCACGAGUGCCCGGUUGUGUGUACCUUAUGAAUAAGCAUCGGCUAACUCCGUGCCAGCAGCCGCGGUAAUACGGAGGAUCCGAGCGUUAUCCGGAUUUAUUGGGUUUAAAGGGUGCGCAGAUGGGUUGUUAAGUCAGUUGGGAAAGAUUGCGGCUCAACCGGAAAAUUGCAAUUGAAACUGGCGGCCUUGAGUACAGUAGAGGUAGGCGGAAUUCGUGGUGUAGCGGUGAAAUGCUUAGAUAUCACGAAGAACUCCGAUUGCGAAGGCAGCUUACUGGACUGCCACUGACGUUGAGGCUCGAAAGUGUGGGUAUCAAACAGGAUUAGAUACCCUAGUAGUC